GUGGGGAAUAUUGCACAAUGGGCGAAAGCCUGAUGCAGCGACGCCGCGUGAGGGAUGACGGCCUUCGGGUUGUAAACCUCUUUCAGCUCCGACGAAGCGAAAGUGACGGUAGGAGCAGAAGAAGCACCGGCCAACUACGUGCCAGCAGCCGCGGUAAUACGUAGGGUGCAAGCGUUGUCCGGAAUUAUUGGGCGUAAAGAGCUCGUAGGCGGCUUGUCGCGUCGGCUGUGAAAACCUGAGGCUCAACCUCGGGCUUGCAGCCGAUACGGGCAAGCUAGAAUUCGGUAGGGGAGACUGGAAUUCCUGGUGUAGCGGUGAAAUGCGCAGAUAUCAGGAGGAACACCGGUGGCGAAGGCGGGUCUCUGGGCCGAUAUUGACGCUGAGGAGCGAAAGCGUGGGGAGCGAACAGG
rnacentral:rRNA from 1 species